CACAAGUGCUUUCAUAGCUACGGCCCCAGAGUACUGCUCAGCUAUUUGCUUUUGAAGAGACAACACAAAUAUUUAAGUGAUGUUUUAUCAACAGGAGGGAACAAAGUUGUGUUAGCACAUUUGCACGCCCUCUUCUCAGUGCUCACCAAGGAGGCCAAUUAAGCCUUUUUCUUCCCAAAUGAUCUGCACAGAAUCGGAGAAACAAUAAUUAUUUGAUAAUGCUGUGCUUAUCUUGCUCACUGACACUCUGUUCCCAUCCCUACCUAAAGAUUUCUCCUAAAGGAUGCUCAACAAGUGACAGCGAGCACACAAACCACAGGAUGACAUGGAAUAUUUCCAAGAAUCGGUCUGAAUAGAUGGACUGCCGUGAGGACCAAUGCAAGCAUGGAAGUGAACAUGCUCCACACACUGCCUCUGCAAGCAAGUCUACAAAUAACCACUGCCUCUGCCCAUUUUUUAUCACUUUUGAUCAGUAUUUCCUAACAGGUCCUGUGUUCACCAAAUGAGCAUCCACACAACCAUCAGAGCAGCUUUUCCAAAUCAGAAAUCUGAUAUUUUAGAGAGUGAUUAGAUCUUACCGUGGCUCACAGAACAAAGCCACUUCACAAGGUUCUCUUCCAUUCACUGUUCUCUAUCUGCUUCAUCUUCUAUGCUUCUACUUCUAGGUGCUUCCUGAGCUUUACACGCCCAUCUGUGCCAUGCCUUUCUGAUCACCUAGAGCCUCACCUAACAACUUCUUGUUAUUCAGUACUACCAUAAGCAUCUCCAACACCAACAAAUUGUCUCUGAAUGCUAGUUGAACUUAGCCCCUCUUCUAUUGCUACAGUACUUUACUUUAUAUAUAAGUACAUUUUUGAACUUUUAUAUUUUAUGUAUAGAACAUAAUUAUGCUUCUUAUAACAUUAUAGUAUAAUCAUUAUUUCUAUGUCCAUUUCCCUACCAGACACUGGGUUCACUGACCACUAAUCUGAGGGAUUAUAUAACCUUAUGCAUCCAGAACCCAAAAAGUACAACCAUUUUAACUCUAGCUCAUCAGGAUGAAUCACAUAUUAAACUGAACAUAGUAUAAUAAAAUCAUACCCCACAAGUAAUAUAUAACUUUUGCAUAAUUUUUAUAAUUUUGUUUUUAAAUUUAUUUAGCUCCUAAUAACCGGUUCAGUUCUCAAAUACCUAUGAUUUCCACUGGAUUAUUAAGCAGAUUCAAAAUUCUC